rnacentral:rRNA from 1 species
AACAUCGAUUUCCUAAGUAGCGGCGAGCGAACGGGAAACAGCCUAAACCACAAUUGUUACGGCAACUGUGGGGUUGUAGGACUGCAAUAUUCAAAUGACUGUGAACUGGAAUGUUCUGGAAAGUUCAUCCAUAGAGAGUGAAAGACUCGUACAGGCAAGCACGUCAGGCGAUAGCAGUAUCCUGAGUAGGGCGGGACACGAGGAAUCCUGUCUGAAUCCGCCGGGACCACCCGGUAAGGCUAAAUACUCCCAAGAGACCGAUAGUGAACCAGUACCGUGAGGGAAAGGUGAAAAGAACCCCGAACAGGGGAGUGAAAUAGAACCUGAAACCAUACGCUUACAACCUGUCGGAGCGGCUUCGUGCCGUGACGGCGUGCCUAUUGAAUAAUGAGCCUACGAGUUACUAAUCACUGGCAAGGUUAAGUGCACGGAUGCACGGAGCCGAAGCGAAAGCGAGUCUGAAUAGGGCGUUUAGUCAGUGGUUGUAGACGCGAAACCUUGCGAUCUACCCUUGAGCAGGUUGAAGGUUGGGUAAAACCAACUGGAGGACCGAACGAAUAAGCGUUGAAAAGCUUCUCGAUGACUUGAGGGUAGGGGUGAAAGGCUAAUCAAGCUGGGAAAUAGCUCGUACUCCCCGAAAUGCCUUUAGGGGCAGCGUUGUAAUUAAGAGUCUACUGGAGGUAGAGCUACUGAUUGGAUGCGGGGGCUUCACCGCCUACCAAAUCCUGACAAACUCCGAAUGCCAGUAGUAUGAUUUACAGCAGUGAGCGACCGGGUGCUAAUGUCCGGUUACGAGAGUGGAACAACACAGACCAGCAACUAAGGUCCCCAAGAGUAUACUAAGUUGAUCUAACGAUGUUUUGCUGCAGAGACAGCUAGGAUGUUAGCUUGGAAGCAGCUAUUCAUUCAAAGAGUGCGUAACAGCUCACUAGUCGAGCGGCAAAGCGUGGAUAAUAAACGGGCAUCAAGUAUACCACCGAAGUUCUGGGCACGAAAGUGCGGUAGGGGAGCAUUCCAUUCCGCGUUGAAGCCGAACCGUGAGGUUUGGUGGAGUGUAUGGAAAAGCAAAUGAAGGCAUGAGUAACGAUAAUGCGGGAGAGUAACCCGCACACCGCAAGACCAAGGUUUCCUGAUCAACGCUAAUCGGAUCAGGGUUAGUCGGGUCCUAAGGGUAAGCCGAACGGUGAUCUCGAUGGAUAAUCGGUUAAUAUUCCGAUACUGACAUAUA